CUUUAAAUAUGGUCUUUCUUGGGCGCGCGCGACAAUGUGAGGAGUGGGGUGGAGCGUGUGUGGUGUGUGGCUGCGGCCUGGGCAAGAGCCGCCGCGGACCAUGAGGUCACUUUAUCAGUCUGCCUGGGGUCACAGGAGAAGUACUGAACAUGAGAGAUCAAGCCUGAUUUGUAGUCCUGAUGAUGUCUGGAUAUUUCCCCCAAAAAUGGCCUUAAGACAUUUUUCUCUCGAGAAAAUUAUAAAGAUCAUUCCAUGGCUCCAAGUUUAAAAGAACUACGUGUUUUAUCCAACAGAGAGAGCAGAGGAGUUAUGUGGACUUGUUGGUUAAAUACGCAAAGAUUCCUGCAAAUUCCAAAGCUGUUGGAAUAAAUAAAAAUGACUACUUGCAGUACUUGGAUAUGAAAAAACAUGUGAACGAAGAAGUUACUGAGUUCCUAAAGUUUUUGCAGAAUUCUGCAAAGAAAUGUGCGCAGGAUUAUAAUAUGCUUUCUGAUGAUGCCCGUCUCUUCACAGAGAAAAUUUUAAGAGCUUGCAUUGAACAAGUG
rnacentral:sRNA from 1 species